rnacentral:lncRNA from 1 species
AACAAUAACCAAGUGGGGGAUAGGCCAUUGGCGGUGGAGGUGCCGGUUCUAUAGGCUUUGGUGCUGGGGCUGGGGCUGGUUUUUCAGCUUCCUUAGGCUUUUCAGGCUUCUUUUCGGGCUUGGUUUUUCAGGUUUCUUCUCAGGCUCCUUGGGUUUUGGGGGUGGUGGUGGUGGUGGUGGUGGUUUGAUCUCAAUGCUCUUGAUGGAUUAACCACGCUUGCAGCAUAUCUUGUCCCUGAUCUUCUCCGGACUGCAGCAUACCACGGUGAUCGUCACCGUGUUGGCCUUCUCGUCGUAUACCUGCUCUCGUAUUUCUCUUGUUCACAAAAGCCAUCAUCACAUAUCAACUCAUCCAUUUCUCACCUAGAGCUCAAUCAUCAACUAACUAUGUUGCUAUUCAAUACUGUAAACAACCAAUUUACAUAUACAUAAAGACAGCCUUUCACAAAAAAAAAUAUAUAUAUAUAGACAAAGACGAUGGAAACUUACGAGGGAACUUAUAGAGCACUUUCUUCACCUUCUUGUAGCAGCGACAGCACUGAAGGUCUACCUUCAGCACCAUAGUCGUCAACUACAUCCGUACACAUAACAGAGUGGUUUUCCAUAUUUCAGGCAGAAAAGAAGAGUAAAAUGCUAUGAUGAAACAUGAAAGAGAUAAAUUAUUCAUCUAUCACCAUUAGCAAACAAAGAACUUUUCCAUAUUUCCAUAGGCUCGUAAGAGGGUAGCAUAGGUUGCCCAAUUCGGUGAAAAUCCAUUGUUUGUUAUCUCUUUGUAAAUAGUCUUGGCCUGCCAAGGCCUCUUGGCUCUUCCCAUAGCAUCCAACAACGUAUUAUAUAUAGCCAAAUUAGGUUUAGCACCUAGGGCCUUCAUUUCCUCAUAAACAUUUAAACAGCCAUCAUAAUUUCCAGAUAUGCCAUAUAUUUUAAUCAAAGUUAUAAAAGUAACAGGAUCAAUACGCCAUUUUUCUGUUCUAGCACGGUCAUACAAGUUGAAGGCCAUAUCAACAUUCCCGGCCCGGCCAUAUGCAUCAAUCAUAGCAGAGUAAGUGUCAUCAUCAGGAUCACACCCGUAUGUAGGCAUUUUCUGAAACCACUCGACAGCCUUAUCGGGCAAAGCACACACCCUAGCACAACUAAUCAACGUGGAAAAGGUAACGUUAUCAGGCUUAACCCCUUUUUGAAGCAUUUCAUCGAACAGUUUCUCAGCUCCAUCCAAAUCCUUAGACUUUCUAAAAACCUUCAUGGUGACAUUAUAAAGAAUGAUCUCUCUACUUGUUUUCUUUAAUAUCCUUUGAAAAUGGUUAAGAGCAAGCAAUGUAGUGUGAGGGUUUGACAUGUUAUUAAGAACAACCACAGCAUCUUGUUCCAAAACAUCGUUACCUAAACGACUCAAAACACUUAAAACAUCAUGUUCAUUUGGUUUGCAGGAAUCCAAAGAAUCUGCUACUUUAACCAGAGAAGAGUACCUGGAAUCGUAAGACAAUUGCCUGAGCCUUGAAGCUCUGGGGCUUCUGGGAUUGACCCAGACAUAGCUCUUGGUAGAAGAACCGGUUUUGCCAUCUGGGGACUGAGAAUUGGAAUGUUUCGGAGUGUUUUUCGUUUGGGUGAUGGGGUCUUGCAAGGAGACAUGGCUAAUUUGGAUAGAGGAUUUAGACUGAAACAAGCAGGAAACCUGCUUUAAAGAAGGAGCGGUGCUUCUUGCAGGUCUCGUUUUGGGUGAAGCAGAAAGAGUGUGGCGAUCAUGGAAAACAUAAGAAGGUGAAGAGCAUAGAUGAUGAUAUGCCAUUUUCUCUAUCUGUUUGUUUAAGCUUUGGCUAACUCAAACACUCACCAGACAAGAGAGGAGAAGAGACGAGAACGGGCAGAUUCUAUCGAGAGGAACCUCACCGAAACUCGGGUUCAAGCUCCAAUUAAAUUACUAGUAGAGCGAAAAGAGAAAUGUGGCUGGAACAACAGAAGGAGACUGCCAGAAUGGCCUUAUCAACACGACACAACGGAAACCCGUCGUUGCAUGGUUUGUUCUAGUUUUACCAUUUUAACCUUAUAAGUUCCCGAUUGCCUUUUGCCUUGUUCAUGUUUCCAACAAAAGGUAUCAAAAUAUCUGCUACAACAUUCAAUGUCCACGGUUGUUUUUUACUUGGACUUGGUCGGGCUAUGAAUUUAAAAGGCCUGUCAACCCAAUCAAGGGCAAAAUAGAUCAUAAAGCAUUUUGGGCCAGGAUCACUUGUUUCACUACAAUCACCCUUCACUCAUCAGGCUUUGGCCUUAAUUUGCUUUUCUUUUCUUUUGGUUCGGAUUCGCAGUUAUAAUAACUAUAUAUCUUGAACAUAAUCUAUAAUAUCUGUAAUAUACUUAAAAGAAGCCUCAGUUUCAAAAAGUGCUUAAAAAAAUUAAGCAAUAUUUUUUAAAAAAAUAUGAAAUUGUUUAUGUGAAUUAUAAAAAUAUGAAUUCUACUCGAAUCAUAUACGUAAGUAUUUUAUAUUUAAUCCAUAUGUAAUGCACCGGUCAUACUCUAAUAAUAAUAAAACUAAAGUUAUUAUGAUUCUAAUGCUUGAGGGAAGUCCUAGCUGCUUAUGCAAAAAAUGGUGGUGGUUGUUUAUGCUAUCGUACGCCAGGAAAGAAUAAUAUGACGACAAUUGCUUGCAAUCCAUGCAACCAAAACCCCUGCUGCUGCCCUAAUAUUUCUCACAUAUCAUUGUAAUCAAUUUGGUCGCUUGAUGAGAACUUGAGUUGGGGAGCAUAUACCUUCACCUUCUGUAGACUUUAUCUGGAUGACGACAAUACUUAAACAACUUCCAUCUUCUUUUGUUCUUCAAAAACAUCUUCAUCGGGAGGGGAAGGAAGAGAUGGACUGAAACUAUAGGAAGCUUGUUCCCUUUUUUUGUUCUUUGGUUUAGAAUUGUGCAGAGAGUCUUAAAUUUAAGAUGCUUUUAUAAUUGUAAUUAGAACUUUACAUUUUGCUCUACGCAUAUAUAUAUUGACAACUAUAUCACAUAUAUAAUACAAGUUAACAAUACAUUAGAAUAAAAACAGUCAUGAAACUGGCGUACAUGUUUUACAUAAUUAAGCAAGCAUCGCUAGAACAAUCACCGCGGCUCACAUUACAGCUCCAGCUAUCACAAACUGGCCUACCAAAACUCCAGCAACAUCGGCAUGGAGGUGGUCGGGUUGGUCCAUCACAGCAGCAAGGUCCCCAAACACACAAACGAUGACAUCGCAUGCAACAAAAUGGUAGCAGUGGAGGUUGUGGUGGGGGUGGUCCAUCACAGCAGCAAGGUCCCCAAACACAGACACGAUUGCAUCGCAUGCAACAAAAUGGUAGCAGUGGAGGUUGUGGUGGGGGUUGUGGUGGACGCGGUUCAGGUUGUGGUUGAGGUUGUGGUGGCGGUUGAGGUUGAGGUUGUGGUUGUGGUUGUGGUUGUGGUGGCGGUGGUGGUCGCGGUUUCGGUGGCGAUGGCGGUGAAGGCCUGGGUGGGGGUGGCGAUGGUUUGAUGAUCUUAAUGCCCUUGAUGGAACCGCCACCCUUGCGGCAUAACUUGUCCCUGAACUUCUCCGGACAGCAACAUACGACGGUGAUAGUCACCGUGUUGGCCUUCUCGUCGAAUCUCUGGUCUCGUAUUUCUCUUGUCCACAAAAGUCAUCAUCAAAUUAUCAAAACUUUCUCGACUAGAGCUCAGUCAUCAACAUACUAUGCUUGCUGUUCAAUACUAUAAAUAGAUAAAAUCACAAAUACUACAAACAACCAAAUGUGCAAAUAUCCGCAAAGACAAGACAGAAACUCACGAGGGAACUUAGAGAGUAGUUUCUUGACCUUGUUGUAGCAGCGACGGCACUGAAGGUCUACCUUCAGCUCCAUUGUUGUCACCUACAUCCGUACACAUAUCAGAGUGGUUUUCCAUAUCUCAGGGAAAGGAAAAGUAACAUGUACGGUGAAACAAACCAUUAGGAAACAUAGAUUUUUUGCUACUGUCAGACAAGUGGAAUGCAAGUACAAGAUUCAGGUUCUGACAUGGGAAGAAUUGGCAGAGAAGCCAUUCAAGAGCAAACGGCCACAGAACCCAAAAAAAAGAAUAAACUUUUUACAAAAAGUAAUAGCCACAGAAAUGUGUUACGGGGAAACAGACAAGGGAUAAAAAAAAAAAGCAAUAAUGAAGAAAUUGGGUGCUUGCUGAUAAGUAGUGUUAGAAACAGAUAAAAGAGAUAAGAUUUAGAAACCUUCUUCUCCUCCAUUGUUUCAGCUUGGACUUGGAAAUCCCGAAUCUGAACCGAAAAGAUAGAAUGAAGCAAGGCAAAGCUGAUGAAAUGAAGAAUUAAUAUAGUGAGUGAAACUGACCGAAAGCUACAAAGACCAAGAGGGAUGAACUGGUUAAUGACCCAAGUUAAGCUUCAUUGUUUUUCAUGGCCCGAGAAUGUGGUACGCUCAAUGGCCACCAAAUAAAAGGGUGAAAUCAAAGGUUUUUUUUGUUUUUGUUUUUUCACUCAAAGGAUAUAGAAGUGACCGACUAUCGUGUGGCGCAGCUCACUUUAACAAUAUCCAUGGCUAUGCUUUAGAUGGACUUGGUUAGCCUGUGAAUUUUAAAGGCCUGCCAACCCAAUCAAGGGAAAAAUAUAGUACAAAAGGCAUUUCGGGCCAGGAUCACUUGUUUCGGUUCUGCACCCAAGCAUUGACAGGACCCAAAUUGCCUCAAAUUAUCAAGAAAAUUCUAAAUUAUAAAGGGAUUUUGUUUUCCUUUAUUGCUUUCUAUAUCAGCCACAAAACCCAACUUUCUUUACUGUUUUCUGCAUUUCAAUGCCACAAAAGCACAAAAUUUAAAAGAUUUUAGAUAAAUUACUUCCUUUUAUGUAUAACUAGUAGUAAAGUUUCAUGUGAACUGUCCCCCACCGGCCAACCCCUCAAAAAAAAGUUCUAUUUGAAUGUACGAAGAAAUCAAGAAAAAUUAUCAUGCUGAAACGAUUAUGAAUCAGCAAAAGCAUUGAAUCUUUAUUUCUUUAUUGUUAAUUUUUUAAAUUCAGUCAUAUGAACCUAAAUUAGUCUCCAAGUCUAUUUAAUGUGUAUUCGAAGCUAGCUAGUAGCAACUCGAAGGAAGGCUUGCUUGGAUGCUGAGCUCACCACCAACAAUGGGUAUCCUUUUUAUUAUAUUAGACUAUGACCCGUGCGAUGCACACGGGUUUCUUUUUAUUUGUUUUUUUUAUCUUUUUUUUUUAUUUUUUUUUUCUAUACCCUUCGUGUGAGUAAAGGAGGAAACUCUUUUGGGAUUUCUUUUUAAAUAUGUUAUAGAUUUAUAGAAGCUACGAUUAAUGAUUCCUUUUGAUUCGACUUAACUAUUCUCCGAUCUAAAUUUUUAUACAGUCCUUAAUGCCAUCCACUCACUAAGUCACUUUCUCCAUUAUGUCUUGUUGCUAAAUCAUACCUCACUUUCUUUAUAAUUUCUCCUUCGAGUCCCGUCUGUUUCAAUCACCAUUCACCAGGCUUAAGUCUUAAUUUGCAUAUAUGUACUGGUCGAUAUGUUUGAAGUGGCCUGCAGCUAGGAAUUGCAGUCGAUAAAAUAUUCAUUAAUUAUAAAGUAAUAUAUAAAAAAAAUAAGUAGGCCAAAGCUAAUUAAGAUUCUAAUGCUUGAGGGUAGCCUAGUUGCUUAUGCAAGGCCAAAACGGUUGGCGCCUAAGGGGAAAAAAGGAUGGUGGCUGUCAAUGCUAUCGUCAGGAAAGAAUAAUAUGAUGUGUAUCAGUCCCAAUUUACAAUAAUUGCCUGCAACCAAUGCAACCAAAACACCCUGCUACUGCUCUAACAUGUCUCACAUAUGCCGUAAUCAAAUUUGGUUGCUUUAUCAGAACUUAAGUGGGGAAGCAUCCACGUUGGCCAAGCCUUUCACCUUCUGCAGAUAUAGAGAUUCAGAACACAGUGUAAACAUGGAGAUAAGUGUUUGAUGUCGGUUGUCUGCUGGCUGGAAAAUAUUGCAAUUCGAAACUUGAUAUGAAUAUGCAGCGCCUGAUCACCUGCUGCAAAUCGAUGAAACGUUGCUUUCAUUUGACGUGAACGUUUCCGGAUGCUACUUGUCUUUUGUUGGUUUGGCUUUUUCCACAAUAUUCAAUCAAGCAAUCGUAUGAAUAUGAUCUGCUUUGUGGGAAGAGACGUGUCUGAAAUGGUUCCUUAAUCCGAUUACCAUUUGUCAAUGAAUUCCUUCUCAACAUAUACAUAUAUUUUUACGGCAAGGAUAUCCAAUAUACGAUAUCUUAGACUUUAGCCGGAUGACGAAAAUCCUUAACAACUUUCAUUUUCUUUUGUUCUUCGAAAUCCGGGAGGGGAUCUUGAAAACAGAAAACAGUGAACACAGAAGAACAAGAAGAAGAGAUGGACUGAAAGUAGGGAAGCUUGUUCCUCUUUCUUUCUUUCUUUCUUUUUUACUACUGUUUGGGUUGCGUGUAAAUGAAGGCAUUACGUCACACGGCAUUAAGCUACAGUUUCUAGAUGACUGGCUGCUUUCCCGAAACGAAUCUACCAACCAUUCAUGAAACUAUUUAAAACUUGUAAAAUAUUCUGUGACCAUGUGUCUGGAUUUGUAUAUAUCAUCUUUUAACUGAAAGACAUAGCCUAAAAAGAUAAAGCACAAAGUGAGAGAAAAAGCAAACACACCAUGGAAAUGCAAAUCAUUAACAGAUACUUUUUUAUUUAUUAAAUAAAUAAAAAAGGGCCACAAACUUUUUGUAAGUCUGAAAUGACCCGUCGGUUGUCCACCACCACCAACCUUAUUAGUUUUUCUUAUAUGACCUACGAAAUGUCUAUAGUCGAGAAGGAAAAAGCAAUUUCUUGUUUAUGGAUAACUAAAAAGAAAAACAAUUUCACAUGGGAGUAAAACUGACUCAAUAUUCAACAGAGACAACUAGAAGAUUAUCAGUGAUGUCAUGGAAAUUGACGAUGCUCAUUUAGUAUGUGCCACGUUACAUAAUUGAGCAAGCUUGGGGGUUUUCUUCGCUUAAACACUCUCCGCGACUCGUAUAACAGUACUUGUAGUCGCCGCCACUGCAGCCCCAGCUAUCAUAAACUGGUCUACCAUAAGUCUCGUAACAUGGGCGUGGCGGUGGUCCACCAUAGUAGCAAGGUCCCCCACCACGGCCAUGAUAACAGUCUGUGCAACAAUAACCAAGUGGGGGAUAGGCCAUUGGCGGUGGAGGUGCCGGUUCUAUAGGCUUUGGUGCUGGGGCUGGUGCUGGUGCUGGUGCAGGUGCGGGUGCUGGGGCUGGGGCUGGGGCUGGGGGUUUUUCAGCUUCCUUAGGCUUCUCAGGCUUCUUUUCGGGCACUUUAGGCUUCUCAGCUUCUUUUGGUUUUUCAGGUUUCUUGUCAGGCUCCUUGAGCUUCUUCUCAGGUUCUUUGG